CCUACGGGAGGCAGCAGUGAGGAAUAUUGGUCAAUGGGCGCGAGCCUGAACCAGCCAAGUCGCGUGAGGGAUGACGGCCCUACGGGUUGUAAACCUCUUUUGUCGGGGAGCAACGGGGGGCACGUGUGGCGCCACUGAGAGUACCCGGAGAAAAAGCAUCGGCUAACUCCGUGCCAGCAGCCGCGGUAAUACGGAGGAUGCGAGCGUUAUCCGGAUUUAUUGGGUUUAAAGGGUGCGUAGGCGGAUUGUUAAGUCCGGGGUAAAAUUUCGGGGCUCAACCCCUUCUCGCCAUUGAAACUGGCGCUCUUGAGUGGACGAGAAGUAUGCGGAAUGCGUGGUGUAGCGGUGAAAUGCAUAGAUAUCACGCAGAACCCCGAUUGCGAAGGCAGCAUGCCGGCUUCCAACUGACGCUGAGGCACGAAAGCGUGGGUAUCGAACAGGAUUAGAUACCCGUGUAGUC
rnacentral:rRNA from 1 species